rnacentral:lncRNA from 1 species
GAAAAGAUUUGGCAAAAUCAACUUCCAGCCAUGUUUCUUUGCUUUCAAAGUUUAACUAAAUUGAUCGUGGGGAAGUGUCACAAAUUAAAAUGUAUAUUUUCGACUUCUAUGCUCAGAAGCUUUGAACAACUCCGACAGCUGAAUAUAUACAACUGUAUGGGUUUGCUUGAGAUUAUUUCCGAAGGAGCAGAUCAAGUGCCACCUUGUUUUAUCUUUCCGCGGCUGACAUUUCUAAGACUACGUAAACUACCAGAACUUAGAUGUUUAUAUCCUGGAAUGCAUACUUCGGAAUGGCCGGCACUAAAAAUGUUGAAGGUCUUUGGUUGUGACAAAAUAAAGUUAUUCGGUUCCGAAUUAUCUAGCUUCCAUGGAAACAUUGAUAAGAAUCAGCUUCAUAUCCCAGCGCAACAGCCCCUGUUGUUGAUCGAAAAGGUAUAUAUGCAACCAUUUAUUUGAUUUUUUAUCAGUUGAGUCUUACUGUUUCUUAUGUUUUACGUUUGAUUCUUUGUUGCAAAGAAACUCACAAACAAAAGAUUUUAGAAAUACCCACUGUACAUGUAUGUAUUGCUCAAAAUUGUUUGACAGAACAUCAAUAGAACUAAUUAGUUUUUAUAUGAGUUGAUGAUGUUCAGAUCUUCCCCAGCUUGGAGAAACUCCUAUUAAGUGGAAAGGAUUUCAGGAUGAUUUUGCAGGGUGAUUACCCACAAAACCUAUUUGGCAGUCUUAAAUACAUUAAGGUUGCGGAUGAUGACUCAGCUUGUUUUCCACUUGGUUUACUUGAGAAAUUUCAAAAUCUGGAAAUCCUCUUUCUGAGUUGUACUUCAUACACAGAGAUAUUAUCAAAUGAAGGACACUCGGAGAAGCACGUGGGCAAGUUCUCACAAGUAAAACAUUUACAGCCGUACAAACUGAAUGAUCUGAAGCACCUAUGGAAACAAGACUCCAAACUGGACUCCAUUCUUGCAAAUCUUGAAAUUCUACGAGUAUAUUGUUGUCAAAAUCUGACUGUUCUAUUGCCAUCAUCAUCGGUAUCGUUUUGGAAUCUAACAGAUCUGCAAGUUUGGGGCUGCAAGAAAUUGAUGAAUUUGGUAACAUCCUCCACAGCAAAGAGUCUAGUGCGCCUCAUGACAAUGAAGGUGUGUGGGAGCAAAGCAAUGACACAAGUGGUGGUAAGUGAGGAAGAUGGAGCAGAAGAUGAAAUUGUUUUCAGCAAAUUGAAGACAUUGUCUCUGCUUGAUUUAGAUAGCCUCACAAGUUUCUACUCUGGCAAUUACACCUUCAAAUUCCCAUCUCUACAAGAUUUAGAAGUGAUUGGUUGUCCCAAGAUGAAGAUUUUCACCACAGGAGAAUUAUGCACACCGCCGAGAGUAAAUGUCUGGUAUGGAGAGGGAGAUGGUGAAUGUCGUUGGGCUAAUGACCUUAACGUUACGAUACAAGAGUUGCAUGCUGAAAAGGUACGGUUAACCCACCAACUUAACUCCCAAGGAAAAAUUUUACAAAUUUGCACUUUUUAACAAAAUUUAGAAAAUAGAUCAUGGACAACCAAGUUUGACUCAUUAGAAUAUUUAUUAUUGAGUAAGUGCAUGAUCGGGUUUGAAAAAGUAUGAGACACUUCUGUAUGUAGUUCUUGAAACUGUCCAAUUUAAAACAGACAUAUUCAAUUCUCAAAAAAUCAUGAAUCAUUAGUUUUAACUUCAUAAUAUAAAAGUCGUGUCAAAUUAAUGAAUGAGAAUUUUGUUUUCAGAUGUUGGAGGGGUCGUCAUCUAACUUGAGGAAGUACGAUUGGUGAUCAUGUUGGCUUUUUAAUUUAUUACUUGGAGUUGUGAAUUUGAAGAAUAAAGUCCCAGGUAAAUAAUUUAAUUUCCCUUAUUUGAUCUCAUAGCUUGUUUCAUCGGUUCACCUGAACUAUUUAGAUUGCGUCACUGGUUUAUUGUUAACUUUAAAAUGAAGUUUUAAUGUUUCAUUCGGGGCUUUAUGAGCAAAUUUUACAUCAUUGAAUGUCCUUUGGUCUGAACUUUUGAGCUUUUUGUUUGAUAGUCAAGGCUUUAUAGUAUGCUAUUUAUAAUUCCUUAAGAAUGUGCAAAAUUUUUUAUGAUAAAAUUGCUUGAAUAUGUCAUUGAAAGGAACUUCUAUGUUGCUCUUUAUGAUUACAGAGUUCUCAAUGUUAUCACUCUUCUUUUGCAGGAUGUGGAAUCAAAGAUACUUUUCUAUGAAAUUUGUGUUCCUUGUAUUAAAAGUUUACAUGCUGAAGGGCUUCCUGUGUUAUCUUUGCUGUUCUACUUGUGCUUUACUUCAUUGUGUCGCUACAGCUUUGUGAGUGUUAUGUUAACUAUUGUUUCCUUCAUUUGGGCAUUGUAAGUUUCGAAGGCGCUACAUUGCUUGACUAAAGAUGCUUAAAUUUAUCAUCUGUUUGUACCCCUUGUAUUAUAUACAAUAAAUUUUUGAUGUAUUUUGACAUUUAAUACGAGAUAUGUUUGAAUUUUCAUUGAAAGGUUUCAUAAUUGUUCAAAUUUAUCUUCAGUUUUAUUUUUGUUAUCUUGUUGGAACCAAAUUGACAACCAAGAUCAAUUUGGAACACCCAAGAUCCACUCUAAGAAACUUGAUCUUAACUAGGUCUGAUACUAGACUGAGUUUAAGAAGAAAUUUGCCUAGGUAAGUGGAAUCAAACACAACUCAAGGAACAAAAGCAGAAAAGAAAGAAAACAGAUCUCACACACAGCACCAAGAUUUAUAGUGGUUCGGCCAUUUUCUUGCCUAUAUCCACUGUGAAAAGAGAAGCAAGCUUUCACUGAUUUCAGAGAUUACAAGUCACAGAGAUGAAGAGUAUGUGUAACAGAAUCGAAACCCCUCAGUAACAGAUCAUAGAGCCUUUUACAUUUCAAUCAAAACCCUCUAAAAGGACCCCAAACAAUCAGCUCACGCUCCUGGGUUUCUCAGCUAAGCAAUCCCAGCUGCAUCUGCAUCCCGCGUGAAUUAACUGAAUUAACAGCUUCUGGAACUGCUCAGGGACACUUGUCAAAUGCUCGUAUAAUUUGCUACUUCAAAAACCGACAUGACAUCACUUCCUUCCCCAAGCAUCAGACACGUCAUACACAUUCCCGAAUCCAGAUUUGAGCUUCCCCUCUUCAGCAUAUCUCAAAUACAUGUUAGGCCUUGCAUGCAUAGACGCACGUAAUAUCCCAGAAGAGUUUUAUCAGAUGAUUUUACUAUCAUCGUUGUUGUUGCUGCUCCCGCCGCCGCCAUUAUUACUAUUAUUAUACUACUACUUGAAAAUUUCAAGUAUUUUAGAUGAGAAAUUUAUUAUGUUAGAGAUAUUCAUAAUAUACAUGAUGCUGAAAUCAGGGAAUUUGUUGUCUCAGUUUGUUUUAUUUUUGUUUGCCUCGAAUCAAAUUUUGAAAUUUAAGAACUAUGGUAAGAGAUGGAACAAGAGGAGUUAAAAAAUUUGCCAAAAUUGAUGUAGCAAUGAAACAAUUGUAUCCUAACAUGUUUAGCAUCAUUCUACUUUAUGAUCAUUGUUGUUCCGUUAUUUUAGUUCUUGCUCUGUUUGUUCUGUUUCUCUGUUUAUUUCACUGGGGGUUUGCUUCACAAAAUCUUACUUUCAAAAUUUAGAAGGCAAGGAAAGAGCGCUUCGAAAAUGCAAGAGGUAUCAAAUCAUGCAUUAAAAAACUUGUUGGCUGCUGGCUGGUCUAUUUCAUUGGCACCGAUCGAAUCAUUAUCCCUAAAAUAAUUAGGAGUCGGAGAUAUAAGUGUGAAAAUAACAGGAUCAUUUACAACAUGGAAAUCAGUCGCCAUUGGUAGGUGGCGCUGCAUAUGAUAAUAACAACUGAUUGAUACCAACAAAGUGUUGGCUCCACUGGUAAUGGAGUCCCCUUAAGUGGCUUGACUGGAUUUGCUCCCCAGUUCGAGUCGCAGGGAAGUCGCCUUUGUUGGGAGAAUCUGUGCCUCCCGGUUCGAGCGGAGACUUCUAGUCUGGGUUGUGGUACGGGCUUAAAGGUGCCUCCCACAGUUGGGGCCCUCCCCAGGAUACCUCGUGAUUAAUAUAAAAAAAAAAAAACAACUGAUUGAUGAAAUUAAUGCCAUCAAUCUGCCUGUUAAUGUUGUUGACGCGUGUCAAAUUUUCAUGCAUAUUAGAAUUUAUUAGUGAGGUUGCAUUAUGGUCCAUAUCGUCAAUAACUUUAGCAGUCAAAUUUUACGCCACUGGAGUCAAAUUUUCAUGCAUAAAGCUGUUGGCUGGUCUGUUUGGCUCUACAAUGAUUUAUCUUUUCGACUUAAAAUGAUUCCAAAAAGCCAUCAGCAAUCUCUAGUGCAACUCUUCAAAAAAAAAAAUUAAAAUAAAAAUAAAAGUCUCAAAAAGUAUCAUUAAUUUAAUUCUAUUGUUUCCGGGUAAUCAGAACGUGUUUGAUAAAUAUUUAUAAGUUACAGUUUGAAAAUUAAAUAGAUUUUAUUUAACAAAAAGAUAUUGUUGACGCGUGUCAAAUUUUCAUGCAUAUUAGAAUUUAUUAGUGAGGUUGCAUUAUGGUCCAUAUCGUCAAUAACUUUAGCAGUCAAAUUUUACGCCACCGGAGUCAAGUGAUUUUUAAGCAGUUUUAUUCAACUGGUUACCUGAGUUCGAAUCUUAAAGAGAUAAAUAGUUAAAAAUGAAUUUAGACUUUGCCUACUCCUUUAAUAAAAAAAGAAGGUCAUUUAGUCUUAACUUUUGAAAUUUUUAUUUGACAUUUCGGCUUUAUAGCAUGCGAUGUAUUUUCUUAAAUUUUAUAAUUCCUUGAGAAUGUGCAAACAUUUUAUGAUAAAAUUACUUAAAAAUGUCGUUGAAACGAACUGAACUUUUUAUGUUGAAAGAAAGCCUUAUUAUUUUUCUGUACUUCUAUGUAAUGCUUUAUGGUUACAAAAUUCUCAUUGUUAUCACUCUUCUUGUGCAAGAUCUGUAAUGAAAGAUACUUUUCUGUCAAAUUUGUGUUCCUGAUAUUAAAAGUUCACAUGCUGGGGGGCUUCCUAUUUCAUCUUUGUCAUUCUACUUGUGCUUUGCUUCAUUGUGUAGCUACAGCAUUAUAAGCGUUACCAUAACUUAUCUGCAGCAAUUUUAUAAUUUACUAUUAUUGUGGUUGUUGCUGCUAUCAUUGUUCUACUAGUUGGAAAAUUCGAAUUCUUUUAGACGUGACAUUUAUCAUAUUAGAUAUUCAAGGUAUACAUACAUGCAUAUAUAUAUAUAUAUAUAUACUGGGUAUCUGUUUAGAUAUGAUGCAGAGAAAUGACAGAAGUUGUAUUAAGUGACGAAGAUUGAGCAGCAAAACAAGAGAUAGUUUUCAGCAAAUUAAAGACGUUGGCUCUGUUUGAUUUAGUUAGACUCACAAGUUUCUGCUCUGGCAAUUGCACUUUCAAAUUCCCAUCCUUGCAAGAUUUAACUGUGAUUGACUGUCCCAAGAUGAAGAAUUUUACUAGAGGAGAAUUAUGGAUGCCAUCUGGUACGGAGAGAGAGAAGAUGAAAGCCGUUGGGCUAAUGACCUUAACACAACCAUACAACAACUACAUGCAGAAACGGUAUGAUUAAUUCACUAUUCUAUCUCCAAUGGAAAAGUUUUACAAAAUUUGCAAUUUUUUAACAAAACGUAGAAAACUGAUCAUUGACAAGUUAGUUUGAUUCAUUAGAAUAUUCGCUAUUACUUUUGUAUUUAAUUCAUCAAACUGUCCUAUUUAAUAUUGACAUUUUCACAAAAGUUAGAUAAUGUUUUUCAAUUCUCACAAAUUCGUUAAUAAUUAGUUUUAAUUUCAUAAUAUGAAAAUCUUGUCAAAGAAAUUGUGUUAUUAAACUUAUUAAAUCUCUCGCUAGUGGCUUCCUUCCUAAUCUCCAUGUGCUUUAGUAUUUAUUUCCAAGUGCCUAAUUUUACGACUUUUAAUUUAGAUUAAUGAAUGACAAUUCUUAUUUUUUCAGCUGUUGGAGGGGCUUUCAUCUUAGUCGACUUUAUACAAGUAAUCUGAUCAAAUACAUUUUAGUACUUGGAUAAGAUGUGGAUUUGAAGACUAAAGAUCGCAGGUAACUAAUUUUAUUACUUAUGUACUUUUCUCAUGGUUUUGUUUCAUCGUUUCAUCUAAACUCUUUGGAAUGCAUUAAUUUUGUUUAUUGUUAAUUUGGAACGAAGUUUUAACGUAUCAUUCAGGGAUUUUGUUUGCAUCAUUGAGGGUUGUUUGGCCUUAACUUCUGAGGUUUUUGACAUUCAGCUUUAUAUUGUGCUAUUUUUUGUAAUUUUAUAACUUCUUGAAAGCAUGCAUAUAUUUUUUUUCUUAUCAUGAUGCCUCGAAAAUGUCAUUAGAAGGGACAGCAGUUUUCUUUUUCUUAUUUAUUUUCAAGUAUCUACGUUUGCGAAUUUUAGUUCAACUUGUUGAAUGGGAAUUUUGUUUUCAGCUACGUACAAGACGAUGCCGCUGCUGCUGCCAUUGUUACUGUCAUAGUUACUAUUACUCGAAAAUUUCAAGUAAUUUAGUUGUGAAAUUCAUUAUGUUAGAGAUAUUCAAAAUAUAUAUGAUGCUGAAAGAAAAGAGUGGACUUGUUGUCUCAGUUUGUCUCAUUUUGUUUUCUCCAACUCUAAUUUUCAAAUUUUAGAAAUAUGGUAAGAGAAGGAACAAAAUGAGUAAAAAAAUUGUCAAAAUAGUUGUAGCUAUGAACAAUUAUAUCCAAACACAUUUAGCAUCAAUCUACUUUGCCAAAUUUUUUAGUCAUCGUCUUUGCUCGGUUGUUUUAGUUUUUGCCCUGUUUGUUCUCUUUAUUUUGAUUGAGUUUGCUUUACAAAGUCUAUCUUUCAAAACUUAGAAGGCGAGGAAAGAGCGGGUAGGAAAUGCAAAAGGUAUCAAAUCAUGCAUAUGGUCAAAUGCUCCUGUAUAUGAACACAUAAAGAACAAUUGAAAUAUCAUUCACCGGAUAACACAAACAAAUAAAAAAAAAAAAAAAAAGAAGAAAGAGAGAAAAUCUAAUCGUCUCAUUAUCCCGAACACAAAUAAUUAAACCAUCAAAUGUUUGCAAUGAGCACAAUCAGAUCAUCUCUUUGGAAUAAUUACAUGUUGGCUUGGCCUAUUUUUUGGCCGGUAAAAAGGUUUUUGGCUGGAGCAUUUGGCCUUAACUUUUUUUUUUUUUUGAGUCUAUAUCAAUUGAUGCCACUAUGUCAAUAAUAAUUGGUAGGAAAUAAAUUAAUAUGUAACUAUAUCUUCUUAAUUAAUUAUUUGUUUUUUUAUCCAUUUACAUUGGAAAAAAGGGGUGCAGGGUCAGGAAGCUUCUUAGACGUGGCACGUUCAAAAGCUUUUUUUUUUUUUUGUCUGAACCACAUGGUCCUGAGUAGGCCCUAACUGUGGGAGAUACCUUUAAGCUCAUACCACAAUCCAAACUAAUCUCCACUCGCACCAGGUCGGCCCGUAAGGGAUAAAGUACUGGCUAAAGUGGUGACUCCAUAUAAGAGCGGGGCUUGAACCUCUGACCUCUCUUAAGAAGUGAGAGUGCCGAACCACUCUGUUCAAAAGCUUUUCUUUUUUAAAAGCUGCGUCAAGCAUGACACGUCAACAUCAUUUACAAGUGGGAACAACUCUUUUUCAUAAAAGAAAAGCCUUUUUUGUUUUAAAAUAAAGUUUUUUUGGAUGAUUCACUAUUACUAAUUGCCCAAGUCAUUCUAUUGCGAAUACAUGCAAAUUAAUAAAGAGACUUGUGGGGUUGCUGGAUAGAAAUUGUUGAAUACAUACAAAUUAUUGAACAGAAAUCCAAUAAUUGAACACCGGCCAAUUCUUGUCCAAUCAAAUUAAAACUCAAUUAAUAUAUUCCACUAAAUUUUUCGUACAACAUCCUAUUCAGAUGAAUAAAAUGUAAAAAAUAAAAUAUAUAAUUCAAAAAAUUAUAAAGGAUGCAAUUUAGCAGGUCAUACAAUAUACCAACAUCAUUUACAAGUGGGAACAACUCUUUUUCAUAAAAGAAAAGCCUUUUUUGUUUUAAAAUAAAGUUUUUUUGGAUGAUUCACUAUUACUAAUUGCCCAAGUCAUUCUAUUGCGAAUACAUGCAAAUUAAUAAAGAGACUUGUGGGGUUGCUGGAUAGAAAUUGUUGAAUACAUACAAAUUAUUGAACAGAAAUCCAAUAAUUGAACACCGGCCAAUUCUUGUCCAAUCAAAUUAAAACUCAAUUAAUAUAUUCCACUAAAUUUUUCGUACAACAUCCUAUUCAGAUGAAUAAAAUGUAAAAAAUAAAAUAUAUAAUUCAAAAAAUUAUAAAGGAUGCAAUUUAGCAGGUCAUACAAUAUACCAAAAAAAGUCUUGGGGGUGCAGUGGGAAUAUUUCUUGACAGAAAGAGUCUUAAAAAUUUUUUCGCCAGAAAACAUUUUCUCUCUCUGAUCUCUGUAUUCUUCAGAUCCUCCUCCUUGCUUGAACGUCUGUAACUUUGUCAUCCAUGAUUUGCAUUCAAUUCUUGACGAAAAAACCUUUUUCCGGAUUUUCAUCUUUUGAUCUCAAACAUGCUUUGCUUCUGUUGAUUGUGGUCGCUUCUAGUGCUAGUUCUCUUCUUAUAUAGCUUUGUUCCCUUUUGCCAUCAGCUCUUUGCAUUUCCUUGGAUGAAGAAACCUUUUUCUUGUUUCAAUUUUCUGAUCUCAAAAGCACUUUGAUUCUAGUCUGCCACACUGAUUUUGUCCUUGUUUUGUACAAACAUAAUUUCGCCAUUAUCUGUUUGAUUAUCAAUUGACCCGUCGUUGACUCUAUUCUAUUUCUAUGUGAAAAAUACGAAAAAAAAAAAAAAGAGAUUGAAGAUGGUGGAAAGCAUUGUUACUGUUGUUUUAGAAGUUGUGAAAUGCUUGGCUCCUCCGACACAACGCCAACUUGAUUACUUGCGAAACUACAAUGAAAACAUUCAGAAACUCGAGGCAGAAACCGAGAGCCUGAAGGUUGAAAUUAGGAGCAUUGAGCGCAGAGUUUUUGGGGCCGAAAAACAAGGAGAAAAGAGUGAAGAGAAAGUCGAGAAGUGGUUGGUUAGCGCCAACAAGAUCAUUGAUGAGGUGAAUGCCAAAUUCAUGGGAGAUGAAGAGACUGCAAAUAAGCGAUGUCUCAAGGGGCUGUGUCCUAAUUUGAAGGCUCGCUAUCAGCUUAGCAAGAAAGCAGAGACACAGGUGAAGGCCCUUGUUGAGUGCCGAGAAGAAGCCGGUCGACUUGAUAGAAUUUCCUACCUUACCUAUCCGGACAAGAUAUGGCUCAAGUCCCACAAAGGUUACGAGGCCUUUGGAUCAAGGCUUUCUACUUUGAAGUGUAUACAAAACGCUUUGACUGAUGUUAAUGUCAGCAUCGUUGGAGUGUACGGCAUGGGCGGCGUUGGAAAGACGACUCUAGCGAAGGAGAUCGUUAGGCAAGCCUUGGCAGACAAGCUCUUUGAUCAAAUAGCCUUUUCAGAGGUUUCCGAAACUGCAGACAUAAAAAAGAUUCAGCGGGAUAUUGCUGAGGACUUGGGUCUCGCAUGGCAUGAGGAAACUGAAUCUAGAACUGCGAGUAGACUGUAUGAACAGUUGAAGAAUGAGAAGAAGAUUCUUGUGGUUCUAGAUAACAUAUGGAAGCAUCUUGAUUUGGAGACUGUUGGAAUUCCUUUUGGUGAUGAUUAUAGAGGUUGUAAACUCUUGCUGAUAGCAAGAGAUCGUAAUGUUUUGUUGGAUAUGGAUUCUAAACAUAACUUCUUUAUUGACAACUUAAAUGAAGAAGAAGCUUGGAGAUUGUUUAAGACGAUGGCGGGUGAUUAUGUUGAAAAUCGUCAGCUGAAAUCUACAGCAACAGAUGUAGCCAAGGGAUGUGGAGGCUUGCCUAUUGCCUUAGCUACAACAGCAAGGGCAAUGAGAGACAAGACUGUGCAUGAAUGGAAGAAUGCCUUGCGAGAACUUCAGACGCCUUCAGUGAUGAACUUCGAAGGACUGCCGGCAGAUACUUAUGCAAGAAUCGAGCUGAGUUUCAAGUAUUUAAAAGGUGAGCAGCUCAAGAAAAUUUUUCUGCUUUGUAGUCUAAUGGGUAAUCCUAUUUUUACUUCAGACCUGUUUAAAUACUCCAUGGGUUUGGGUAUACUCCAAGGAGUCAAGAAGAUGGAAGAUGCACGAAACCAAUUAUAUGCAUUGGCCUAUAAACUUAAAGACUCUUGUUUGUUGCUUGAGGGAGGUAGCAGCGAACAAUUUUCAAUGCAUGACGUCGUUCGCGAUGUUGGCAUAUCAAUUGCUUACCGGGACCAACAUGUAUUUUUGGCAAAAAAUGAGGAUGUGUUGGAGCUGCCGGACAAGGAAGCACUUGUAAAUUGCUAUGCGAUUUCUAUAAGUGGUUGCCGUAUUCAGGAGCUUCCUCAAGGAUUGGAAUGCUUGCAACUCGAACUUUUAUAUAUAUCUCCCAAAGACUCUUACCUUCAAAUCAAUAUUCCUGAGAACAUUUUUGCAGGGAUGCGGAAGCUUAGAGUUGUAGAUUUUACUGGGAUGCAAUUAUGUUGCUUGCCAUCUUCAAUUGAUCUCUUAGUAAAUCUUCAAACACUAUGUUUGGAUCAAUGCAUGUUGAGUGACAUAGCAAUUAUUGGAAGGUUGAAGAAUCUGGAAAUCCUUAGCUUUUUAAAUUCAGAUAUUGUGCAGUUGCCUGAAGAACUAGGUGAAUUGACUAAGCUAAGGUUGUUAGAUUUAUCCAAUUGUUUCCAGCUAAAAGCUAUUGCACCCAAUGUCCUAUCAAGCUUAACUCGAUUGGAAGAACUCUACAUGAAAAAUUGCGUUAUCGAAUGGGAUGUUCAAAGACCCAAUGGUGGAAGAAGUACUGCCAGCCUUGGUGAGUUGUUGCAAUUGCCUCGACUGACCACUCUAGAAAUAGAUGUCAAAAAUGAUAGUAUUUUACCAGAAGGCUUUUUUGCAAAAAAAUUAGAAAGGUUCAAAAUAUCAAUAGGAGAUGAGUCAUUCAAGCCUCCGGUGCGUGCGGAUGAAUGGUUCGGUAGUCGGCCGGUUUUGAUCAGUGAUCCUUCGAGUCUAAGAACCAUAAAGCUGAAGCUUAGCUCAAAGCCUAUUUGCUCGAAGAAAAUGCAGGGCAUCCAGAAUGUUGAAUACUUGUGUUUGGACAAGCUGCAAGGUGUCAAGAAUGUUCUUUUAGAUAUGGACAUUGAGGGAUUUCUACAGUUGAAGCAUCUCCAUGUUCAAAAUAAUCCUGACUUCGUGUGCGUUGUUGACUCAACGGAGGGGGUACGUCGUGAUGUGUUUCCUCUUUUGGAGUCACUUACUCUUUACAAUUUGAUUAACAUGGAGAGGGUAUGUAUUGAUCGACUCAAAGUAGAGUCUUUCUGUGAACUUAAAACCAUACAGGUGGGAAAAUGUGAUGAGUUGAGUAAUAUCUUCUUGCUGUCUUCUAUAAGCUGCCUUCCCACACUUGAGAGGAUUGCAGUUUUUGAUUGCGAUAAGAUUGAAGAGGUCUUUGCAAUUGGUGGAGAACCAGAUGUCGACAACAAUAAUGCAGUGGAGAAGAUAGAGUUUGCAGCAGUAAAAUUUUUACAUCUGCAAAAUCUUCCGAAGCUUGCAAGUUUUUGCUCUGAAGUAAAGAGACCAAAUACACAAGGGUCGCAAGAGGAAUUGACAGCUACUACUUGCUCGACCGAAAUCAGUUUGUUGGAGGAGGACAAGCUUGAUACUUCGACACCGCUUUUCAACGAGAAGGUAAGCUGUUAUAAUGAAACCAAAGCAUUCGUUUUUCUUUCUCAACUUAUUCUAUCGUGCAUUUUCGUUUGAUGACAACUAUAGAAAAUGAAUUAUAAGGGAAAAAGAAAAUGAGAAUUGGAAAUUAGAAUCUCACACACUCACUCACUAAGCUCGCUUUACAUAUUAAUGAUGUGAAUUAAAUUGCAUAUUAAGUGUAUGUUUAGUAUGGUAAUAAUUCUCAAAAAAUCAUUUUUAGCACGGAUUUCUAAAAACUAUAUUUGAAAAAAGUUUAACACAAUGUUUUGUAAAUGGGUGAGCUAUUUGCACCUUAAAAAUUACUCUAAACACUCUAAUUGAAAUAAAAAUUUAUAACAAAAAUAUCUAUCAUAUGAAUUAUAUAAAGGACAAUUUAUUAUAAGUCAAUAUUACAUAAUUACUAUGAACGCCCCAUAUAACACACUCAUUAUUUAAUAUAUAUAAUUUUCAUGUUUUAAACCUUAAAACUUUUUUAUUUACAUCUUCAUCAAUACUUAGAUGAAUAAUGAUAAAAUCAAUAUUUUUCUUUUAUUUUUCCAUAAAUAAUCAAUAUCAAACGCGCACUGAAGCUGUCACUUGGAAGAUGAUUUGAUCUAACAAGAAAUUAAUGUUUAGGUUGUGUUCCCCAACUUGGAAGAUUUGGAGUUGAUUGGAAUUAAUGUCGAAAAGAUUUGGCACAAUCAACUUCCAGCCAUGUUUCCUCGCUUUCAAAGUUUAACAAAAUUAAUCGUGGGGAAGUGUCACAAAUUAAAAUGUAUAUUUUCGGCUUCUAUGCUCAGAAGCUUUGAGCACCUCCGACACCUGGAUAUAUGCAACUGUAUGGGUUUGCUUGAGAUUAUUUCCGAAGGAGCAGAUCAAGUGCCACCUUGUUUUAUCUUUCCGCGGCUGACAUUUCUAAGACUAGGUGAACUACCAGAACUUAGAUGUUUAUAUCCUGGAAUGCAUACUUCGGAAUGGCCGGCACUAAACUCGUUGAUGGUCUUUGGUUGUGACAAAAUAAAGUUAUUUGCUUC